UGGCCCGUCGUCUAAUGGCAGGACACCGGUCUUUGGAACCGGUAGUGGUGGUUCGAAUCCACCCGGGCCAA
rfam:Gemmatimonas sp. SG8_23 WOR_8-12_19865, whole genome shotgun sequence.